ensembl:lncRNA
CGGGCCCGGCGCCGCGAGGGAGCCUGGGGGUCAGCUUGCGGGCCCGGGACGGGAGGCCAGCCUCCAGGGCCCCUCCCGAGGAGGCUGACGCAGGGGAAAAGGGAGAAACAAGCCUUGGGGUGCGCACCCUCCCAAGACACUUUCCAGCUUCAAAGAGAAAAUCCAUUUUGCGAGCAUCUGGUUCUGACCUACUCGUGGACACGGCUCUAAGUGUCUUCGUCAGUCGAUUUCCUGUCUCUGAACAGAGAAAAGAGAGUUUGAGGACAGCCCCUCAGCUGCCGUGCCCAGGCCUGCCCAGAGUGGCCCCAGCUGCCCUCUCCCAGACCCUGCAGCCUGCCCAGCCUGCUGCCCCCUGCCCUGCCCAUGGCCCUGUGGGACACUCCCCUCCUCAGGC